rnacentral:rRNA from 1 species
CAGCAGCCACGGUAAUACGUAGGGCGCAAGCGUUGUCCGGAAUUAUUGGGCGUAAAGAGCUCGUAGGCGGUCUGUCGCGUCUGGUGUGAAAUCCCGAGGCUCAACCUCGGGCUUGCAUCGGGUACGGGCAGACUAGAGUGCGGUAGGGGAGACUGGAAUUCCUGGUGUAGCGGUGGAAUGCGCAGAUAUCAGGAGGAACACCGAUGGCGAAGGCAGGUCUCUGGGCCGCAACUGACGCUGAGGAGCGAAAGCAUGGGGAGCGAACAGGAUUAGAUACCCGGGUAGUCCCUGUCUCUUAUAA